rnacentral:misc_RNA from 1 species
GAUGAAGAACGCAGCGAAAUGCGAUAAGUAGUGUGAAUUACAGAAUUCCGUGAAUCAUCGAAUCUUUGAACGCACAUUGCGCCUUCUGGUAUUCCGGAAGGCAUGCCUGUUCGAGAGUCAUUAACAACCGUUUCGAUCCCUUUCUUUCAGAAAUUACAAAGAGGAAAAGGGUUUGGUUAUGGUGGAGGAGGGAAAGGGAGCGUUUAGCCUGUAAAAAAAGAGGCUGUGUUCCGCCUCCCCCCCAAAAUUGUACAGGCGGUCGUGUGCGCCCACGCAUCGAGGUGUUGUAAAAGCUGCCACGGCACUUUUCACCUGUGCAGUGCGAGAUUGGCCAGCCGGUUUAAAAACCCCUCCAAACAAUCAAAGGUUGACCUCGGAUCAGGUAGGGAUACCCGCUGAACUUAAGCAUAUCAAUAAGCGGAGGA